UACAGAGGCCUCAAGCGUUGUUCGGAAUUACUGGGCGUAAAGGGAAUGUAGGUGGUGACGUAAGUCAGAUGUGAAAGCCCUGGGCUUAACCUGGGAAAUGCAUUUGAUACUGCGUCGCUUGAGUGCGUGAGAGGAAAGCGGAAUUCCAGGUGUAGGGGUGAAAUCCGUAGAUAUCUGGAGGAAUACCGACGGCGAAGGCAGCUUUCUGGCACGUAACUGACACUGAGAUUCGAAAGCAUGGGUAG
rnacentral:rRNA from 1 species